AAUCAACGCUGGCGGCGUGCCUCAGACAUGCAAGUCAAACGAUUAAAGCUCUCUUCGGAGAGUGUAUAGAGUGGCGCACGGGUGAGUAACACGUAAGUAAUCUACCUUCGAGUGGGGAAUAACGUUCGGAAACGAACGCUAAUACCGCAUAAUGCAGCGGCAUCGCAAGAUGACAGUUGUUAAAGGAAUUUAUUUCGCUUGAAGAGGAGCUUGCGGCAGAUUAGCUAGUUGGUAAGGUAACGGCUUACCAAGGCUACGAUCUGUAUCCGGUCUAAGAGGACGGUCGGACACACUGACACUGAAUAACGGGUCAGACUCCUACGGGAGGCAGCAGUCGGGAAUUUUGGGCAAUGGGCGAAAGCCUGACCCAGCAACGCCGCGUGAAGGAUGAAGUAUUUCGGUAUGUAAACUUCGAAAGAAUGGGAAGAAUAAAUGACGGUACCAUUUAUAAGCUCCGGCUAACUACGUGCCAGCCGCCGCCGUAAAAC
rnacentral:rRNA from 1 species